rnacentral:rRNA from 1 species
UACGUAGGGGGCUAGCGUUGUCCGGAAUCAUUGGGCGUAAAGAGCGUGUAGGCGGUCCGGUAAGUCCGUUGUGAAAGUCAAGGGCUCAACCCUUGAAUGCCGGCGGAUACUGUCGGGCUAGAGUCCGGAAGAGGCGAGUGGAAUUCCCGGUGUAGCGGUGAAAUGCGCAGAUAUCGGGAGGAACACCUAUGGCGAAGGCAGCUCGCUGGGACGGUACUGACGCUGAGGAGCGAAAGUGUGGGGAGCGAACAGG